AAUAAGUGCAUUUUUGCAUUGUUUAUGUUCAAUGCUUGAUCGUUCAUCUUAUUUAUAAAAAUUAUGAUUAGUAUUUUUAUUGUUAUUAGAUGAUAACACGUGGAUAUUACUUUAUGUGUGACUAUUUUAAAAAAAUUUAUAAAAUUUUUAAAUAAGACGAACGGUCAAACAUUAGACAUGGAAAUCCACAAAUACAGUUAUA
rfam:Oryza brachyantha chromosome 4, whole genome shotgun sequence.